rnacentral:rRNA from 1 species
GGAGGAGGCAAGCGUUGUUCGGAAUUACUGGGCUUAAAGCGUGCGUAGGCGGGAUGGCAGGUGUCGUGUGAAAGCCCUCGGCUCAACCGAGGAACUGCUCGGCAAACCGUCAUUCUUGAGGCCAGCAGAGGGACCCGGAACUUUGGGUGGAGCGGUGAAAUGCGUAGAUAUCCAAGGGAACGCCGGUGGCGAAAGCGGGGUCCUGGGCUGGUUCUGACGCUGAGGCACGAAAGCGUGGGUAGCAAACAGGAUUAGAUACCCUGGUAGUCCACGCCGUAAACGAUGCGCGCUAGGUAUCAGCGCCUCUGACGGGGGUUGGUGCCGCAGCGAAAGCAUUAAGUGCGCCGCCUGGGAGUACGGCCGCAAGGCUA